rnacentral:misc_RNA from 1 species
CUCGGUUAGUACUUGGAUGGGAGACUGCCUGGGAAUACCGAGUCUCGUAGGCGUU